rnacentral:rRNA from 1 species
GGUCCUGAGAGUGGAGUGAUGGCGUCCGGGUACAGGUAUUUGGUUCGAUUCUGGAGAGGAGCCUGAGAACGGCUACUACAUCUACGGACGGCAGCAGGCGCGUAGUUACCCAAUCCUGACUAGGGAGGUGGUGACAAGAUAUAACAACACGAUGCAAUCGUGAUUGUAGUGAGGGUAUUCUAAACCGAACCACUAGUACGAUUAGAGGGCAAGUCUGGUGCCAGCAGCCGCGGUAAUUCCAGCUCUAAUAGCGUAUAUUAAAGUUGCUGCAGUUAAAAAGCUCGUAGUUGGAUUUCAAGGACAGCUCUACCUCUUUGAGGUAGGCUUCCUAUUUUCUCUUCUUUCUGUUACUGUGAGAAAAUUAGAGUGUUUAAAGCAGGCUUUUGCAAGAUACAUUAGCAUGAAUAACGAUGUGUUUAGAAUCUUGGUUAAUUCUAAUUACGAUUAUAGAGACGCGGGGGCGGAGAGGGAGAGCGAGGGAAAUCCUGGAUUUGUUAACACUAUCGUAUGCGAAAGAUUCUUUUGCAAGGAUGUUUUCUUAUCAGGACGACCGAUAGGCACAACGACAUCUAUACUGUCGUAGUCUAUCUAUAACUAUGCCGACUAGGAUUGGAGUGGCUCACACAUUUCAGUACCUUAUGAAAAUCAAGGUUUGGGUCCGGGGGAGUAUGUCCACACUGAACUCUAACAACUGCGAAGGUCCCCCAGAUGAGCUCGCUAUUGACCACCGGGAACUACAGUCAAACUUAUAGAUGCAGAUGAAGUCUUUCUUGAUCAUGGGGGGGCAUGGCGCUCUAUGGGG